UCCAACUUGAAUGAAGAAUUACAGACUUCCAGAACAGGCUAACUAAAUCAAUUUGUUACAGUCUGUUAUUUCAAGUUUCCCACCUCUUAUAGCAAUAACAAAAACAAUUAUUUCUGGCAUCUAAAGGUGUGAGUAUUUAGUUAAGAAGUUUAUCAUAUUCUAAAAUAUGUUCCCUUUGUUAGUGGAAGAAAUUCAAUCCCAAAUUCAUCAAAUUCAAUACUAACAUUUUCUGGAUUGAUAAAACACAAUAGUGACAAAUGCAUGAUUGUUGUAUAGAAAGAACUCACCUACCUUGUUUUAUUUCAGGUGCAUCAUGCAGACCCCUUUUUUUAAGGAGAAGCCAGAUCUUCAGAUGACUUCAUUGAAAAUGAGAAAUUUCUGAGUGGAAGUGAAGAAUGUUGCAUGCAUACAAGCAGACAUCAGCAUUCCCUCCCUCUUGUUUGUAUUAGAGGUGAGCUUUUUGAGAAAGACUCAUGGAGGAAGUUUGAGAGUGUCAGUUCUCAGAUCAAGAAGUUAGCUAGCACUAGGAGGAGUAGCAAUUCAUUCCACAGUAUGACAUGAGAAAUACAUGACUAGAAAGACCUGAAAAAGGAGAUUUGGCAUUGUUUCAUGUGGAGAUUAAAGAAUCUUCGAAAUAUAUAACACAGACAUGUUUCAGUUACUUGGGGAUAACACUUAUGAGGAAUUUUGCUAACUUUCAGAUUGGAAUGUAUUGCACAAGAAAUGCUUGAUCACAACCCUCUUUUAUUAAAAUCCUUUUCUAUGCAAAUAAUUAGUGUAAAUGAAAUUUAGCUAUUUCAUUAGUAAACAUGUUUUCUGUGCAAGUGUGUGUCUUUGACAUUAAAUGCUAUGAUAUUGAAGUAUUCUUAAAUAAUGAAAGAUC